rnacentral:rRNA from 1 species
UGGGGAAUAUUGCACAAUGGGCGCAAGCCUGAUGCAGCCAUGCCGCGUGUAUGAAGAAGGCCUUCGGGUUGUAAAGUACUUUCAGCGAGGAGGAAGGCAUUAAGGUUAAUAACCUUGGUGAUUGACGUUACUCGCAGAAGAAGCACCGGCUAACUCCGUGCCAGCAGCCGCGGUAAUACGGAGGGUGCAAGCGUUAAUCGGAAUUACUGGGCGUAAAAGCGCACGCAGGCGGUCUGUCAAAGUCGGAUGUGAAAAUCCCCGGGCUCAACCUGGAAGCUGCAUUCGAAAACUGGCAGGCUAGAGUC